CAGAACCCCCUGAAUGAUGUAGGCUAUGGGGCCACAUAAGACUUUGUCCAUCCAGGGUUACGAUGAAUGCAAAAUAUAAACUAAAGAACCCCCUGAAUGAUGUAGGCUAUGGGGCCACAUAAGACUUUGUCCAUCCAGGGUUACGAUGAAUGCAAAAUUUAAACUAAAGAACCCCCUGAAUGAUGUAGGCUAUGGGGCCACAUAAGACUUUGUCCAUCCAGGGUUAUGAUGAAUGC